rnacentral:rRNA from 1 species
ACGCUGGCGGCAUGCCUAAUACAUGCAAGUCGAACGAGAUCUUCGGAUCUAGUGGCGCACGGGUGCGUAACGCGUGGGAAUCUGCCCUUGGGUUCGGAAUAACAGUUAGAAAUGACUGCUAAUACCGGAUGAUGACGUAAGUCCAAAGAUUUAUCGCCCAGGGAUGAGCCCGCGUAGGAUUAGCUAGUUGGUGAGGUAAAGGCUCACCAAGGCUACGAUCCUUAGCUGGUCUGAGAGGAUGAUCAGCCACACUGGGACUGAGACACGGCCCAGACUCCUACGGGAGGCAGCAGUAGGGAAUAUUGGACAAUGGGGGCAACCCUGAUCCAGCAAUGCCGCGUGAGCGAUGAAGGCCUUAGGGUUGUAAAGCUCUUUUACCCGGGAUGAUAAUGACAGUACCGGGAGAAUAAGCCCCGGCUAACUCCGUGCCAGCAGCCGCGGUAAUACGGAGGGGGCUAGCGUUGUUCGGAAUUACUGGGCGUAAAGCGCACGUAGGCGGCUAUUCAAGUCAGAGGUGAAAGCCCGGGGCUCAAC